AUUGAACGCUGGCGGCAUGCUUUACGCAUGCAAGUCGAACGGUAACAGGCCGCAAGGUGCUGACGAGUGGCGAACGGGUGAGUAAUGCAUCGGAACGUGCCCAGUCGUGGGGGAUAACUACUCGAAAGAGUAGCUAAUACCGCAUACGAUCUAUGGAUGAAAGCGGGGGGCCGUAAGGCCUCGCGCGAUUGGAGCGGCCGAUGUCAGAUUAGGUAGUUGGUGGGGUAAAGGCUCACCAAGCCAACGAUCUGUAGCUGGUCUGAGAGGACGACCAGCCACACUGGGACUGAGACACGGCCCAGACUCCUACGGGAGGCAGCAGUGGGGAAUUUUGGACAAUGGGCGCAAGCCUGAUCCAGCAAUGCCGCGUGCAGGAAGAAGGCCUUCGGGUUGUAAACUGCUUUUGUACGGAACGAAACGGCUCUGGUUAAUACCCGGGGCUAAUGACGGUACCGUAAGAAUAAGCACCGGCUAACUACGUG
rnacentral:rRNA from 1 species